rfam:Marinobacter sp. ELB17 1101232001226, whole genome shotgun sequence.
GGAGGAACCGAACGCCGGAGUCUGCCUGCUGGGACUAGCUCCAAACCACCCUGAACGGCAUUGGCUGAAGACCGUUGCCGUAAGCAUCGGGGGAAAGGCUCACUCAGGUGGUGUGUCAGGC